rnacentral:rRNA from 1 species
GGGCCCGCACAAGCGGUGGAGCAUGCUGGUUUAAUUCGAUGAUACGCGAGGAACCUUACCAGGGCUUAAUGUAGAACGACCGAUUUGGAAACAAGUCUUCUCUUUGAGCGGUCUACAAGGUGCUGCAUGGUUGUCGUCAGCUCGUGCCGUGAGGUGUCGGGUUAAGUCCCUUAACGAGCGCAACCCCUAUCUCUAGUUGCCAGCGGAUAAUGCCGGGGACUCUAGAGAAACUGCCCGUGCAAACGGUGAGGAAGGUGGGGAUGACGUCAAAUCAUCACGGCCCUUACGUCCUGGGCUACACACGUGCUACAAUGGUCGGUACAGAGAGCAGCCACUACGCGAGUAGGCGCGAA